rnacentral:rRNA from 1 species
GUAGUUCGACUCCGUGGCUACGAGGACGACGCUGGCGGCGUGCUUAACACAUGCAAGUCGAACGGAAAGGCCUCUUGCUUGCAAGGGGUACUCGAGUGGCGAACGGGUGAGUAACACGUGGGUGAUCUGCCUUGCACUCUGGGAUAAGCUUGGGAAACUGGGUCUAAUACCGGAUAUGAACUGCCUUUAGUGUGGUGGUUGGAAAGUUUUUUCGGUGCAAGAUGAGCUCGCGGCCUAUCAGCUUGUUGGUGGGGUAAUGGCCUACCAAGGCGUCGACGGGUAGCCGGCCUGAGAGGGUGUACGGCCACAUUGGGACUGAGAUACGGCCCAGACUCCUACGGGAGGCAGCAGUGGGGAAUAUUGCACAAUGGGCGGAAGCCUGAUGCAGCGACGCCGCGUGGGGGAUGACGGCCUUCGGGUUGUAAACUCCUUUUCGACAGGGACGAAGCUUUUUGUGACGGUACCUGUAUAAGAAGCACCGGCUAACUACGUG